GACGAACGUUGGCGGCGUGCCUAAUACAUGCAAGUGGGACGCAAGAGAACACACUGUGCUUGCACACCGUGUUUUCUUGAGUCGCGAACGGGUGAGUAACGCGUAGGUAACCUGCCUUUAGCGGGGGAUAACUAUUGGAAACGAUAGCUAAUACCGCAUAAUAUUAAUUAUUGCAUGAUAAUUGAUUGAAAGAUGCAAGCGCAUCACUAGUAGAUGGACCUGCGUUGUAUUAGCUAGUUGGUAAGGUAAGAGCUUACCAAGGCGACGAUACAUAGCCGACCUGAGAGGGUGAUCGGCCACACUGGGACUGAGACACGGCCCAGACUCCUACGGGAGGCAGCAGUAGGGAAUCUUCGGCAAUGGACGAAAGUCUGACCGAGCAACGCCGCGUGAGUGAAGAAGGUUUUCGGAUCGUAAAGCUUCUGUUGUAAGUCAAGAAC
rnacentral:rRNA from 1 species